AACGAACGCUGGCGGCAUGCCUAACACAUGCAAGUCGAACGAGACCUUCGGGUCUAGUGGCGCACGGGUGCGUAACGCGUUGGAACCUGCCCUUAGGUUCGGAAUACCUCCCCGAAAGGGGUGCUAAUACCGGAUAAUGUCUUCGGACCAAAGAUUUAUCGCCUUUGGAUGGGCCCGCGUUGGAUUAGCUAGUUGGUAGGGUAAAAGCCUACUAAGGCGACGAUCCAUAGCUGGUCUGUGAGGAUGAUCAGCCACACUGGGACUGAGACACGGCCCAGACUCCUACGGGAGGCAGCAGUGGGGAAUAUUGGACAGUGGGGGAAAGCCUGAUCCAGCAAUGCCGCGUGAGUGAUGAAGGCCUUAGGGUUGUAAAGCUCUUUUACCCGGGAUGAUAAUGACAGUACCGGGAGAAUAAGCUCCGGCUAACUCCGUG
rnacentral:rRNA from 1 species